rnacentral:misc_RNA from 1 species
CAGAGUUGCAAAACUCCCUAAACCAAUUGUGAACGUUACCUAAACCGUUGCUUCGGCGGGCGGCCCGGGUCCUUCCCGGCGCCCCUCGGCCCUCGCGGGCGCCCGCCGGAGGUAAACCAAACUAUUGCAUUGUAUGGCCUCUCUGAGUCUUCUGUACUGAAUAAGUCA